UNGGGUGCGGUAGGGGAGAAUGGAAUUCCUGGUGUAGCGGUGGAAUGCGCAGAUAUCAGGAGGAACNCNGAUGGCGAAGGCAGUUCUNUGGGCCGUUACUGACGCUGAGGAGCGAAAGCGUGGGGAGCGAACAGGAUUAGAUACCCUGGUAGUCCACGCCGUAAACGUUGGGCGCUAGAUGUGGGGACCAUUCCACGGUUUCCGUGUCGCAGCUAACGCAUUAAGCGCCCCGCCUGGGGAGUACGGCCACAAGGCUAAAACUCAAAGGAAUUGACGGGGGCCCGCACAAGCGGCGGAGCAUGCGGAUUAAUUCGAUGCAACGCGAAGAACCUUACCAAGGCUUGACAUAUACGAGAACGGGCUAGAAAUAGUCAACUCUUUGGACACUCGUAUACAGGUGGUGCAUGGUUGUCGUCAGCUCGUGUCGUGAGAUGUUGGGUUAAGUCCCGCAACGAGCGCAACCCUCGUUCUAUGUUGCCAGCACGUUAUGGUGGGAACUCAUAGGAGACUGCCGGGGUCAACUCGGAGGAAGGUGGGGAUGACGUCAAAUCAUCAUGCCCCUUAUGUCUUGGGCUUCACGCAUGCUACAAUGGCCGGUACAAAGGGCUGCAAUACCGUAAGGUGGAGCGAAUCCCAAAAAGCCGGUCUCAGUUCGGAUUGAGGUCUGCAACUCGACCUCAUGAAGUCGGAGUCGCUAGUAAUCGCAGAUCAGCAACGCUGCGGUGAAUACGUUCCCGGGCCUUGUACACACCGCCCGUCAAGUCAUGAAAGUCGGUAACGCCCGAAGCCGGUGGCCCAACCCUUGUGGAGGGAGCCGUCGAAGGUGGNAU
rnacentral:rRNA from 1 species